UCGCACGGUUUAUUUGGUGGACCAUAAUGAUGUCUAUUACAACAAAGGUGGUUUAGGCAUAAUUUUAAAAAAUCAACUGAAUGAUUCUAACUAUCUGGUUUCUGAAGGCUGUUUUAGAUUUUGUUUAAUCAGGGAAAUGCAUGAGAUAGAUUUCACUUUUAGGAAGAUCGUUGGCAGCACAACCGUCAAGUGUAUGGGUAAUAUACCAGUCUUUAAUUGGCCUGCAGAUUCACAAGGAUUUUGUAUUAAAAGCUGACUGUUAUGCUUAUAGUGAAAACAUCAUUAUUUUCCCUCGCCAUUUGCAUCCAUAGAAUGAUAUUUAGUGUCAAAAGGUGGCAUAAACAGCUCUAAGCAGUGACAAUAGCAACAACACUGUAAUUGAAUUUUGUAGCGGAUUAUUAAUUGAGCAAACCCAUGAAUCUUGUGCUUCAACAAAUCUAUCCCUAUACCUUAGUGGUAAAAAUAUGUGCGAGAUAUUAGAUGAUUUUGGAUGUUUUUACAGUUCUGUGACGAGUAAGGCCGG
rnacentral:lncRNA from 1 species